rnacentral:lncRNA from 1 species
AGCUCCAGCUCCCUGCCGGUGUCGAUGUUGAGGUUAAGCUAUGAUUCUGUUGGAGCUGAAGUUCUCAGAGUUUGAUGUAAUGUGGUAUUCAUUUUCCGCAGCCUUUCUAGUUGAUCCUUUUGCUGUCUGGGACUGAGAAAUAUAGAGCCUGUAAUAGGAGAGAUGUUGAGAGAUGAAUUAUCUUUCAUUGAAGCAUAUUGAAUGAGUUGGUUUACAUUAAGCUGUAUCGAUGUUCUGGAUCCACUGAAGUUUCUGGUGAUGUAAAUGUACGGUCAGCAUCUGAUAUACUCUGCUUCCCAUCCCUGUAUAAAAUCGAUUGCUUCAUCUGGAUAAGUAAAUUCCUCUGUUCAUGCUGAUUGUACUUAAUCUGGAUGAUUCUACGGACGGGCAAAGCUUUCUAUUUUCUUCUGAAGAAGAGUUUCUUUCUCUCUUUCAGAGUUUACCUGAGUUCAAGCUCAUUAUCUUUAAGUCAAUUCUGUAGGCGAUGUACCUAAGUAAGCUAAGGUAUAUUUCUUGUGAGGCAGCUAGUUCUUUUUGCAAGAAGUUCAAAAGGCAAAUUGCUAAAUAAAAAUCAGAAGUGUUGCGUAAAGAGAAAAAUGAAGUAUAAUAUGCAAUUUGGGUGAACAAAAGCUCGAACUUCCUACUGCAAUUUGGAAUGAGCACUUAGAUUAUAUGAUAACCAGACCCAAAGAAAAACAACCGUUUUUCUGUAGCUCGAACUUUUCAGAACUGCAGUAAAAAAAAAAUUAAAACCAUCAUUGAGACUAGGCACAACGAAGCUUCUUCGAUAUUCUAAAGUGAAAUCCAUUUUCAGUUGACUGGGGCUGGGAUGCAGUGCAGCCGAGAUCCAGUACUCUCUGUUUUUUUCUGAAGAAAAGGAACUGAAGAUAUAAAGUUGGUCUUUAGCAGCCCGUAGUACGCAGCCCCCAGCAUCCAUAGUCCAUGUUUCUAGUGCCAUGUAGUCAUCCUCUUUCUACCUCCGAAAACGACCGAAGAGUCCAAGACAUUGCUGAGACUCGAGGUGAGCGUUGGCCGGCGAGGAAAUCCAUAAACUAUCCUUCGGGAGGGCCCAUAUGAUCUUGUCUAAAUGUUUCAGUGCUUUGGCCUUCUUUUUCCUAAUAUUGGCUGCUUGCUCACUAGAGAAGUCAGAUGCUAAAGGUAUCUUUGAUCAGGACACUGAGGCUCUGUUCGCUUCAGCUUAUCAGCUACCGAACAGUAUUUUUCUCUCACAACAAAUCAGCCGUUUCAACUUUUCAAUCGACUUAUAAAUCCAGCCGAACAGCCCCUGAAAAUUGGAAACGCUACUCGAUCUUCAAGUAGUGCAGAAUAACCCAAUGUCACCAUCAGCUUACUCAUUUCGUAAUAGCACCAUUUUUUUCUGUGGAUCGUUACAUUUUGAAAACCAUAGCACAGUUUUACUACAUGAGUUGGACAACUUGCGCUUCUCAAGUUAAAAAGAAAAAAAACUUCUAUCUUUGCUAUGUGUGACUAUGACGCCGUACUCUCAUUUCCGAUUUUGCGAUUGCAAGGAUGGCACACACCACCACAGCGCGUCCACGUCACACUCGCACCCGCAAGUGCGCACCCUAAUACACGUUACAAGUAAACCACCGAAAGCACUUGCGUCAUUGCGUGUGUGAGCCAUGUUAAUGGUAACGUACUUGGAUUAGAGCUCUAUCCGUUCCAAUAAAAGGAACUUUGAGCUACUCCCUGUCAAAUGGAGUAUCCCUGAUCAGAAACACCACGCAAAAUCACCAUCAUGUACAGAUUAAGGUCGUCCAUGUGCAUCUGUGCUUCGACGGCGAAGCUAGACUUGUAGCCUUUUACUGCACACAAAAGGAAAGGAUAACAUGAUGUUCACACUAUAUGUGCUCUGCUGGAGUGCUGGCUAGGCUGCAUCCUCUGCGAUUUCCAUUGUCUUCUCUAAGCUACUUCACUCACUGUGCGUGUUGUAGUAGCUGCCUAGCUGGUACAACGACAGUAGUAGCUGGUUGGUGGAUCCUACCACCACACAGAUCGUUGCUUUCAGUGGUGUCACUUGUUACGUCGUCCGUGGCAAUCAUCUAGGGCAGGAUCGAUUGUAGCCGGGCCAGCAAUUCGGGGGUCCAGCCGAAUGCUAAGCACGCAGAACAGUGUGUUGAUGUUUCCUGACCGUGUGCUGCAGUGCAGAAUUAUGUAGCCUUGGAUGUCCCAAAGGGCAUGUAGCCAUUCAUAAACAUUUUUUGAGCUAGAAGUAAACAUUUAAGGUUCAUAUAUGUGAUAGGUCCAUUAAUAAUUUGUAGUAUGGUUCAAUUCACACGUGAAGUUCAAUUAGCCUUUCAGUUGCAUUGCAUCACAUCCAUCCAUGUUCGUGUGCGUAUGUCCUUGCAUCAGCACCGGAUGGAUCGAGACCCUGGAACGUGGGCCAAUAUGACCCUGGGACCUCAACCUGUCGAUUCCCUCGGUCAAAAAGUCCACGCUGCAUGCCGUCGGUCCGAUGUGGCGCCAAGAUUAGAGGAAGCUUUGGGGUCGCACCGUCGCAGUGAAGGAACCCGACGACUUUUUCGUCGCCCCGUCACUCCAAACGUCACCUGCUCCCUGCUGGACCGGAUCCUCUGCGGCGCUCGUUGGCAGCCUCUGGGUGAAGGGCCGCGUGCGGCGUGCACAAUGGAUCCCGAGCGAUUAGUCUGACCCAGAACCAGAAACGUGCACCUCCCCAGGUCUCUCCUGCAGCUUAACCGCCACUCAUGGUCAAAGGUCUCAAGGCUGAGAGCCUGAGACUCGGUGCCGGGCGACCGUGCAUGUACCUGAAUCUUCCCACGGUGGAUAAUCUUCGCUUUCACAUUUGCUACUCAUUAGUGCACAAGAAUGAUUUUUUUGUUGCACUAUUUCUUUAAACAAAUCCAGCACAAUUAAUUCUAUGAGUUAGGAGUCAUUUUCUUUCCGAUAAUUAGUACUACCUCCCCAGAAUUUAGUUACUUCUACCAUUCAAAUUUUGUCCCAUAAUAUAGUCACUUUUAAGUUUUUCAGUUAUUUAACUUGAGAGGUCUAUACCCUCCAUGCAUGCAAAUUAAUUAUGGUAUGCAUAUGUGCUUGCUAGCUUGCCACCAAUUAAAUAGGAAAGGUAUAAUUAACCUCUUAAUUAGCACAUGAAAACUAAUGAAGGGUAAUAUAGACUUUUAAUCUACAUCCUUAAUUUAUCAGAAAAAUUCUAUAAGUAGCUAUGUUUUGGAACGGAGUGAGUAGUCAACAAAUAGCUACUCCUAUUUUUUUUUCAAAAAAUAUAACAAAUUCUAAGAUUUUAAGGAUAAUUUAAAGAGAGAAGAGAAGCACAGCAUGUACCAUCAUUAAAGCAUGAAACAUCGGUUUUGAUCGGCGCAAGUUAUGGGAUUAAUUGGCUAUUUAUCCCGAUUUUUUAUGUAUAUUGUCACCGGAAAUAUUAUCAACUAAUCAAUCCAAGAAUGAUUCGUUAUAGGUUAGAAAUGGGAAAUGAUGGAUGUGAAGCAUGUUAAUUAAUGAAAAGGGGUCUUAAUUUACCCAUGAUCCCUUGUAUUUUAGGGACCACAAGAACAAGGUAGCAGAAGACCAGAAGUAGCAUGGUAGCAAAAUGGUGUGGCUAGUACGGUCCUAGCUGGGCGAGUCGCACAUCUCGCCGGGUUUGAUUUUAGUGGUCUCAGAUGAAAAACGCGACAGAGGGGAAAAACGAGGCGCAAAGCGCAGCGACAAUGAUCGAUCUACAGCAUCGACAGGACGACACCUCACGGGCGGCCACCCCACUUGCCGGCCCGGGACGCUCGAAUAUGUGACGGCACGGCCGGGGCGCCGCAGCCCUUACCGCCGCGAAACGCCGCGCGCCUCGGGCCAUAUCUCUCUGGCUCUCAGGCGCCCGCGCCCGGGAAGGGAACGAACCGCAGCCACGCGACGGAGGCAGGAGGUUGCGUGCGCCCACCCGAUCCCCUCCACCGGAGAAAACGUCUCGUGCGCGGUGCGCCCCGCGGCCGAAACGUCCUAUCCGCACGCGGGCAAGGGGGCCCGGGGCGUGAGCGUGUGCGUGUCGCCGGGCCACGCGCGCCGCACGGCCCGCCGCCGUGUGUAACGUUACCAACCUCCUCCUUUUCGCUCGGCUAACGCCCCCGGCCCCGGGCGGCGUUGCCUUCUUUUUUUCUGGAUGCUUUCGGGAUUUUUUCGUUGCGGCAGUGCUGCUCCUCCGGGCGAAUUUGAUCGGCAGAUAUUCGUUCGGCAUAUGCUCCGGCUACAUCGACAAAGCCUCCUCAGCUUGUUGCUGCUCGUGCACAGCUGAAGGAUUUCCUCGUUUUCUUGUGCACCUUUUGCAGUUUCUCCGGACAGCAUGCUGGUGGUGCUGCGGCUGUUACGGCUCAGCAUGUUGCGCAACGGUCUCGGCAUGUAGCCACGUACACACAGCGCAGCAGUGACAGGAUUAUGCAGUGAGUCAGCGAGCAGCUCGCGUAGCUUGCCCCGAAAGAAAGAGGGAUUGCAAAAAAUAAAUGUGAGCAGAGAGGGUUUCGUCUCCAGACACCAUUUGGUCACGCACCUGUACCCGAGGCACGCUUCUUCUCUGAAGCUUCGCCUGAUCGCCUCGGCUGCUCUGCCCUCCUCCCUUCUCCGCCGGCAGACACGUAUAUAUAGGAGUGCAAACACUUGACGCCUUGUGUAAGCGCCCACAACCUCCACGCUCCACC